AGAACGAACGCUGGCGGCGUGGAUUAGGCAUGCAAGUCGGACGGGAUCCUUAUGGUUCAAGUUUUCGGACGAGAACUGUUUGGUGAGAGUGGCGAACGGGUGAGUAUCGCGUGGGUAAUUUGCCCUGAAGUUGGGGAUAGCCAGCCGAAAGGUUGGAUAAUACCGAAUGUGGUCGGCUUCCGCAUGGGAGCCUGUCUAAAGGUGGGGAUCUUCGGACCUGCCGCUUUAGGAUGAGCCCGCGUCCCAUCAGCUUGUUGGUAAGGUAACGGCUUACCAAGGCUUACGGGUAGCUGGUCUGAGAGGAUGGUCAGCCACACUGGGACUGAGACACUGCCCAGACUCCUACGGGAGGCUGCAGUCGAGAAUCAUUGUCAAUGCGCGCAAGCGCGAACAUGCGACGCCGCGUGCAGGAUGACGGCCUUCGGGUUGUAAACUGCUGUCUUGAGGGAACAAUAGCACGGGGGUUAAUAGCCUGUUGUGUGUGAUGGUACCUCAGGAGGAAGCCACGGCUAACUCUGUGCCAGCAGCCGCGGU
rnacentral:rRNA from 1 species